rnacentral:SRP_RNA from 1 species
CCGCGCUAGCCGGGGAGGUAGCGGAUCCCUGCACCCGCAAUCCGCUAUAGCGGGGGUGAUGCCUGCCGUAGGCUCCUUUUCUGUGGGGUUUGGCCGGGAUAAGUAGUGUUGACGGCUUAGUCCCGCGCAAUGAAUGUUUGCGAACCGUGUCAGGCCCGGAAGGGAGCAGCGCUAAACAAAAAGUUUCAUGUGCCGCGGGGGCGCUUGGCAAGAGCUGGCUGUCGCGAUACCACCCGGAGUUAAAUGCCAAUGGUGUGGCGCGCGG